rfam:Scleropages formosus scaffold3034, whole genome shotgun sequence.
CCGGGUUGAGGUAGUAGGUUGUAUGGUUUAGAAUCACACCCAGGGAGUUAACUGUACAACCUACUAGCUUUCCCCGG